GUACCUAGAAAUAAAUUUUGUGAUUUUUCGAUACCAUUUGCCUAGUGAUCGAAGGGGCUCAAAAUUAAUAAUUUUAAUGAUCGUGGUGAGCCGUUUGAAAGUUUAACAGUGUAGAAAUAUUCAAAUCAUAUAAAAUUUUGAUAGAAAAUUAUUUAUACUAUAAUAAAACAAGAUUAAAAUCUUUAAUUUAAAAUUUUAAUAUCAUAUCAUCACAUUUUGUAAGAUUUUUAUUUUCAGCCGUUGAUUUUGAGCCACUUCGAUCACUAGGCAAAUGAUAUCGAAAAACCGCAAAAUUUAUUUUCUAGGUACUUUAAAUAUUCUAAAUCAAGUCUAACGGAGCCGAUCGUCGAUUCGAAAGUCCCAACAUUGAAAACGACUUGGAAGCACGGAGAGUUCCGUGCUUCUAGAACCAUACCAGCCUCACUCUCUCUCUAUAUAUAUAUAUGGAGCACAGCUACUGUACUUUCAGAAAUAUAAAGGAGUUAGUGCUUCCAACCUUUUGGGCCUUGGAUCAACUUUUUUGACUAUUUCUGACCUAUUUUCUCCUCUUUUCUUUUCAUAACCCAAACGAUAAAAUAAAAAUUUACUUUUCUUUUUUCUUUUCUCUCUAUCCAAAUAAAGCAUCAGUUUUUUCCCAAUAAAAUAUGUGCCCUAUCAUAGAUUU
rnacentral:lncRNA from 1 species